CCUGAUACCGGGAAACCCUUGGUCUUCCAAGGGGUCUUCAUGGGGUUGGGCCAUCUCCAAGGUAAAGUGGCAAAUGCUAGGCAGUUUGUACACCAUGUUUUAAAUGACAAAGGCCACUUCUGGAUGCUUUCAUGCCAUGGGGAUGGUACCGAUUACCAGGAGAGCCUCUCCUUGGGGUGACUCACACAUCCUUGGACUUUUGAAGCAAGCUUUUCAAAUGCUCCCCUAUAAAAGUUUUGGUCAACGGGACCAAAUCUUCCUGUCGUGGCUCAGCAGUAAUGAACCUGACGAGUAUCCAUGAGGACACGGGUUCGAUCCCUGGCCUCGCUCAGAGGGUUAAGGAUCCGGUGUUGCUGUGAGCUACAGCAUAGGUCGCAGGCGAGGCUCAGAUCUGGUGUUGCCGUGGCUGUGGUGUAGGCUGGCAGCUAUGGCUCCCAUUCAGCCGCCAGCCUGGGAACCUCCAUAUGCUGUGGGUGUGGCCCUAAGAAGACAGACACACACAGAAGAUUUGGCUGUUGCUCUGCGCAUUUAUGUAUGCAGUGGGCUGAAAGCAAUGCCUUUGCUAACUGACCUCUAGCACACACAGAAUGAGCAACAGUAGUUGGAACAAAACAAGAGCAAGAAACCUCAGCUAGAUGAUUCUGCUUUGACUUUCAAGAGCUGUAAUUUCACAGAAAACGUGUAACAUGCGCUAAUAUAGACAUCGUACACUUUAUGCAUACAGAAAAAACCCCCAGUAAACUUCUAAGCAGCUUUUAAUACAUGGAUCCUUUAUGGCUCUGUCCAAAGUGGCUCAAAAUCCUGACAUAGACAGGGUAGGAGGUUGUGGGGCAGAGUCACACGUGAGAGGGUUGUCUGGCUAUGAAGCAAUGGCGUGGAUACACCAAAUGUCAUUUUUUGUUCCCUCACUCAGCCCUUCUGGUACUUGUCCCAGAUGCUGAGUGCUGGGGCAAAGUGGGAAAGGUGGCAGACAGCAUUCUUACCAGAGGGUACGAUCAGCCCAAAGAGUGAUAAAAAUUGAUGGGUGAUGACGACACAGGGAGAUAAAUAAAACCAAAGAAGAGCAGACUGCUCUCAGAGCAGGUGGAGCGCUGCUAACCUGCUUCUCAUGGUCAAGGUUGGGUGUUCAAACCGAGAUUUGGAGAUGCAAGAUAGAGGGCAAGAAAGCCCGUCAUUGGGAGGGAGAUGUGUGUGUUUUCCAAUCCGAUGUGUUUUCUAAAACAUAGCAAAUGAUUAAAAAAAGCCGCACUGUUGACUCUCUCAGUCUUCAUUUCAGGAAAUUAACUUUCUUUGGGCUGAAAGUAAAAGAUAAUAAACAUAUUUGGUACCUACGAAAUCAGUGGUGGUAUAAAAAUACUUGGCACACGUUAUCACAAUGAAUUCUUGUGUCGUAUCUCCAGCAAUAAGAAUGGACACAGUCACAACGGCACCGAAGGUCAGAGCUUCAGCUGUCUUCCCAGGACUCGCGGCUACUGAGGGGCCGUGUCAGGCACCCACCUGCCUGAGGCCAAAGCUGGGGGAUGUCCACUCUUUCAUGUGGCUCUAUCUGAAGCUUUCCCAAGGAAAACUGGACUUCGUUUGUAGAUAGUAAGCAUGCGAAUAAAAUGGGACUGAUAACAUUACAUCAGGAAUGUUCUAGCAGGAGUUCCCACCAUGGUGCGGUGGAAAGGAGUCCGACCAGGAACCGUGAGGUUGCGGGUUCGAUCCCUGGCCUCGCUCGGCGCAGUAAGGAUCCUCCGUGGCUGUGGGCGGCCGGCAACUGUAGCUCCGAUUCGGCCCCAGCCUGGGAACCUCUAGAAGAAGAAUGUUCUAACAUCUCCCCGGCUUCUAAAUAACUGCGUUUACUUGGACAGGGGACCACCCUCUCCCUUUGUACAGGAUGUUGGGUUGAUAGGCAGUAAACUCGCGGCUGUCGCUCUGGACCUGGGCUUCUGCCACCUGGAGGGUCAGUUGUCGUCAGAAGUCAAGGGCUCCCAAGGUCAACACAGAAAGCGACUGCGUGCAAAGGCCCCGGGAGAGAUUUUCGCACGCUCGCCCUGUCUGUGGAGAGAACCCCUUUCACGCCUGGUCUCGGACUCGGUCACAGCAGCCGCGCACACGCACGCGAGGGGCUGGACACACGGUCCAGCUGCGUGAGGGGUUGACAUGCCCGGCUUGUCACGCGUGCUUUGAUGCACAGGCCACAAAAAUAGAGGCUUUUUUCUUUUUACACUGGCACCAUAAAAAUCAAAUUAGACAAAGCUAGACUGUUACAGACAUUCAUAAAAAUUCAAAGACCUCUUGUCUGGAUUCUGUUACC
rnacentral:lncRNA from 1 species